UGGAAUCCACAUUGUCCUCCGUUUGCCCCACGCUUCCUGAGCAGCCCCCUCCGUGAGCCAGAAGCUUCCAGGCAUGGAGCCCAAGAGUGGGAGACACUGACAUAGGCCUUGUCUGCAGGGCAGGCGGUGACACCUGCAAGGCUCCAGUGAGACAACGAGGUGUGCUGAUGCCAGGAGAAGAAAUGUUUCCAGGUGCUGGUUGGUGUCUUUUGCUUGGUCCAGCCCCUCUCGAGGUCCAAUUAUAUAGGGAGCUGGGGCAAUUGUCAACAGUUUGGUGUGUGUUAUUUCAUCCUGUUGGUGAGGCAUCCCUUGAAAAUAAACAGCACCCUCAGAGUUAAGACAGUAUAUCUCCAAUGUAGAAACUGUCUCUUCAAAGUAUUGCUGGGGGCAGUAGCAAAUAAAAAAUGGCAAUCCUGUUUCCAUAAACUUUAUUGCAUCCUGUAACUAUGCUUUCUAGGUAGAUAAAGGUUCUUAGUUUAGUUUUGUUUUGUUUUUCCUGCAUAAAAGAGAAGAAAGACAGGUACCAGAGGGAGAGAUGGCCAAGGGUUAUCCUAAUCCUCUGAUAUUUUAUAGUGAAAAAAAAUAUUCCCUCGAAGAAGCAAGGUAGGUUUUUAAGGUGGUUAUGAACAUUUCUUCCAAACUCAGACACGCGGGCAACAUUCUUAAAGCCCUUUUAUACCUAAAUGGCUAAGGAGCUUAGAAAUUUACCUCGAAUCUUUCUCAUCCAGUAAGAUUAGGGUUGGGUAGGAGCUGAUGUGAGAGAGAUGAUUGUAACAUAACCACUGACAGACAGAAAUGACCACCAGUCUCUGAGGGUCCGGAUACAAACCUUUGAUCGGCUGAAUUCUUAGUAUUAAGGAGAUCCAUGUGGCUUUGGAAGGCUUUGAAAGGAUCCAGGACUUUUAAGAUAAGGUUGCUCCUAAUCAACACAAGCAAACAUUAGACCUUGGAGUAAAAUCUCUGCAAACAUAAUUCCUAUUCAAGAGGAAAAAAAAAAAAAAAAAACAAACUAUUUUA